rnacentral:lncRNA from 1 species
GAAAUAAAUAAAUCCUCUUUAGCAGAUCAAUAUUCAUCCCAUUUAAUGCUUGAUGUGAAACUUGUGGAUUUGUGGUGGUAAUGCUGAUGUACAGCUAAUCGUUGAAAAUGGGCAUUAGGGCUUUUAUAGCAUGGCAACAUAUUGUCAGGCAGGAAGGGAAAGAAGUGGAAAACACAGCCUGGAAAAAAAAUAUGAUUCAGGCUGCCCCUGCUGAAUUUUAGAGAGCGUCAAAACUUAUUGGUUAAAGGGAUGCCUUUAUGAGUAAAACAUGAGAAAUAUUCACUUACUAGGUAAGCAAUUUGUAAGGACUGGAAGUAGAAAUUAAGCAACCAAGACAAGAAGGCUGUCCUAUCAGUUUCAAGAACAACUAAGAGGAUGUUAAAGCAGAGGGAGCCCCUGCAUGACUUAAGAAAACCGAAGGCAGGCAGAACAGAGACUUUUCAGGGUGCGAAGUUACGCAUGGUGCCCUCUACUGGAGUCACUGGUAAAGAGUUUUGAUUUCAAAAAGAAAUUGACGUAGAAUUUGUUCUUGUUCCAUUGUAUUGGUGAAGAAACUGAAGUUCAAAGUAAUUGGCAGAACAUACUACUUUGGGCAGUAUGGGAGUAGAGGCCUAUGGACGACCAGCAACAGGCUAGGGAUAAGAGUGGAGAUCUGAAUACAAGAAACUAGUAUUCAGGAUACGGGUCCUGGUUGUGAUUCUCUCCUAAUCCUUCGUGUGACUGGAGUUAUGUCGUGUGACUCUCAUAAACAAUGGGUUUUCCUUCUUUGUACGUAAUAGUUGGCAGAAGUGGUUACGUCCUUGCCACAAGGAAAAAGUCUCAUGAGAUGAUUAAUCUAAAACUUAUUUUAGAAAUAUAAAGGACUUUAUGAAUUCAAGGCAGUAUAUUAAGAAAAUAUCCCCUCAAACAAUGAACCAAUGAGACUGGCAAAGAUCUUGAUUUUCCUGAUUUUCAUUUAGAUUCUUAACAUUUGAGUCCAUUGAUAUAUUCGAAGCUCUACCCUUCUGGAAAAUAUCAUAAGAUUUGAAAAAUAUAGCUGCAAAGAGCAAAAGAAGAUUUGCGUCUCAAUAGAAAAGAUCUACAGAUUGAAUAUUGCAUAGAAAACAAUUUAUUCACCUUACAAAGAUAAAAGGAUGAAAACGCCCUGAGCAGUAAUAAAACUUCGCCAUUUUGGGGAGGGCCUCAAGAGGCUAUCUUAUCAAUCUUGGUCGUUGGAAAAGUAUCUGUAAUCUCAAAGAAAACUUUAAAUACUGUCCAAGGAAAAUAUCCAAAUACAUCUUAAAAUGCCA